CUUUUAAUCUUCAGUAUAUAACCUUAUGUUGUGAGUGCCGUAAAACUAAACGAUACCUGUUUUUCAGUUUUACUCUCAUAAUUGUUACAAUUUAAGGCAUGAUGUGGGGGAAGGCCAUGGUCAAAUGACGUCAUUUUUUAGUCUCAGAUCAAAAUUGGGCUUUUAACGGAUUCGAGUACUUUGAAAUAUCUACUUUCCCAAAAUGAAGGUCUUACGUCUCUAUCAAUAGGAGAACAUGUUCAAAAACACUCACAAAGAUGGCACCCCCUUUCCUCUAAGUGAAAAAAACCCGCAAUUUUUUGCCCUAAAAAACGUCCUUUUUAUGAAAUGGGCAUAAAGCUCUCCACACGCUCAGAAAUCAGUCAUGUUAUACAUAAUUUUGAAGACUGUGAUCUCUAAUUUCGCAAAAUGGCGAUUCAAAGGCAGUUCGGACUUGAUCAUUGAUAAAUAAGUUGCAAGUAAUAUGGCUGUUUCCAUUAUUAUUUAGCUGAGAAUGAUAUGUCGUCAUGAUAUAUGCAACUAGAUUACUGCGCACGUGCAUGUGCAGUUUAAAUCAUGUUUAACUAAGUUCAAAUCCAAGUUAAUCAACCUUUUGUGAAUGAGCUCCCCUUACAGUGCAUGAGCACUUGAACUUGCCAGAACUGGUCAAAUACCGAAGAUGUCGGCCAAAGCCCACUCUCAUGGCGUCGAAAUGGGGAUCGUCCCCCCGCGUCAUACGGCCCUUAACGAGAGCUCGGUAAGAGAUUCCGAAUUUCCGCAUAAAUCAGGAAAUCCAAUUCCUGAAAAAGUCAGAAUUUUGCCCGACUGGCCGAUCGUUGAGAAUCUGUUGCACAUUUUUUUAAAAAAACAGUCUUGACAAGAGAUAUAUGAGAAAAGUGUUUCGUAAAUUUUAAGCCCCCGUGCACUUGAUUUCCCGGAAUCGGAAGAGUUCAGGACUUUUUUGGGGGGAAGCCAGUUAGCACAACUGCUCGAUACAGCCGAUCUACGUUAAAUUCUCUAGCCUUGACUAGGGCGAUGGCGCAAAAAAAACAACUACUCAGACAGAAAACACCAUAUUUUCGUUUUACGGUGACAAACAUCUUGUGCAGGAAGCCACGUAUUCCGAUUCAUUCUCGCCGCCGCCAGCCAACUCUUCAGUUUUCGCCCUCGACAGUGCUGUGUAGGGUCGAAGAAACCAAAUGCAAGGAAGGCCUUUUCAAUAUUGGCAGUAUACGAAAGUCUGACCCAGCGAUCGUAACCCAACAGUAAACCCAUCCCCACAAGCCAUUGUCUCCACUCACUGACCUGCCAAAAACCGUCCCACACGACACGCCCUAGUUUGGGCGAGCCUUGAAGUCUCCCACAAGUAUCUGAAUAGGGUUGUACCAUGAAUGCAGGAAAGUUACGGAGAACUUCCGUUCUAACUUAUUCUAAGUACGUAUUUUAGUAUUCGUUUGUUAAUACAAAAGACAGCGGGUUGAACAGAGUUCUUGAAUAUCAUGCACGAAAAAUCUUGAACAGUGUGCAGAUAAACAUUGUACGAAAACGACCGAACAAGUUCUGUAUCGUCGUUGUAAACUUGGAGGGUUCAAUGGUGGAAGAAAAGGACUAGAAAAAAAAAACCCAACCAGCUGGGGACUUAGACCAACCUUCCCUGAGCCUGAGAGACAACAGGGUCGACAUUGAUGAACAACCGAAUGCUGAGAGUGAGACACCAGCGUGGAUGGAAACCUCCUAACCGCCUCCUUCAAUGACAUUUGCUGAUGCUGAUGUUGGCGUCUAAUCAACGAGAUGAGAGUGCUGUUUCGGCACUACCCCAGUUUCAACAGUUAUUGAGCUCAGAAAAUGCUUUUUGAACACCUUUCCAAAAUACUUUGAUGCCCUAGCCUCAAUUUCUCAGGAUUACCACAGCCUACUGCAAUGGCAUCGACAUUCUUGAGCACAUCACACGACAGUUCGAACAUUGAUAGGCACUAGAGGUGUAGGUAUAGGGAGGAACAUAUCGUGAGAGUGAUAGUGAAGAGGAAACUUUAGAUGAGGAUGAACUUGCUCCUCACCCCAUUGCCAAAAAUAAAGUUUCACCAAUGAAGAAAGAUACAGAAGUAGAUAAUGACGGACAUGCGCUUUUUUAUUUUGCCUUUGAGAAUCCACCAUCAAAUAAAGUGCCAGCAAAAUUUACAAGGAAGUGCAAAAUCUAUGGAGGAUGAAACAAUAUUUGCAAAACCAGCGCAACACUGAGGUUUAGUAUACAGCAGGAUGCGCUGCAACGGAGAUGCCCAAUCUCAUCUGAUGCGCAAAUUUUUAUGGCAUUUAUGACUUUGAAAUUGUAAAAGAUGACUAUAUAAAUCGCUUUAGCAAAAGUAUGUUCUUGUUCUUAUAAGAGUUUUACGGCACUUGCAACACAAUAAGGUCAUAUAAGUGCCGAAGAUUAGAGAUGUUACAAGAGAGUAACAAACAUUAAAAAGAAGGAGGGGAGAUAGGGAUGAUAGAUUUUUUAUAGGAAAGAAGGAGCAAACCACACCAGAGCACCUGCCAAACACCCACAAAAGUAUGUUCAACGCCCUUCAGAGCUUCCAAAACACCAACAACGAAUACCUGAACAGAAAACCCA